UACAGAGGUCCCAAGCGUUGUUCGGAUUCACUGGGCGUAAAGGGUGCGUAGGCGGUCGGGUAAGUCUGAUGUGAAAUCUCACAGCUUAACUGUGAAACUGCAUUGGAUACUAUCCGGCUCGAGGAAUGGAGGGGAGACUGGAAUACUUGGUGUAGCAGUGAAAUGCGUAGAUAUCAAGUGGAACACCAGUGGCGAAGGCGAGUCUCUGGACAUUUCCUGAUGCUGAGGCACGAAAGCCAGGGGAGCAAACGGG
rnacentral:rRNA from 1 species